UUCAGGUUGGUUCUCUUUCGACAGGCACCGCAGUAGCUCGACAUAUUUCUUUUUUCUCUAAAAAAAAAGACACUAAACGUAUUAUACCAUGAACCAAAUGUUAAAAAAAAGUGACGCUUCUUUUUCACUGAUUUGUUGAGAUAUCGAUAGAAUUAAGGAAUCGAAUGGAUUAUUUAUUCGAUUAUAUCGAAAGUGUGACCAGACACACAAGACAAGCAAUGGCUUAAUUAUUGAUGUAUUUUGUAUUCGUAUAAAUAUAAAACUAACUUAAUUCUUUCUCCAAAAUGGCUUACAAAUUUACAUAUAUGGCAAAUAUAAUUUUUAUUAUCCGGCAGUAGCUGAA